rnacentral:rRNA from 1 species
UUGCUCCACCGGAAAAAGAAGAGUGGCGAACGGGUGAGUAACACGUGGGUAACCUGCCCAUCAGAAGGGGAUAACACUUGGAAACAGGUGCUAAUACCGUAUAACAAUCAAAACCGCAUGGUUUUGAUUUGAAAGGCGCUUUCGGGUGUCGCUGAUGGAUGGACCCGCGGUGCAUUAGCUAGUUGGUGAGGUAACGGCUCACCAAGGCCACGAUGCAUAGCCGACCUGAGAGGGUGAUCGGCCACAUUGGGACUGAGACACGGCCCAAACUCCUACGGGAGGCAGCAGUAGGGAAUCUUCGGCAAUGGACGAAAGUCUGACCGAGCAACGCCGCGUGAGUGAAGAAGGUUUUCGGAUCGUAAAACUCUGUUGUUAGAGAAGAACAAGGAUGAGAGUAACUGUUCAUCCCUUGACGGUAUCUAACCAGAAAGCCACGGCUAACUACGUGCCAGCAGCCGCGGUAAUACGUAGGUGGCAAGCGUUGUCCGGAUUUAUUGGGCGUAAAGCGAGCGCAGGCGGUUUCUUAAGUCUGAUGUGAAAGCCCCCGGCUCAACCGGGGAGGGUCAUUGGAAACUGGGAGACUUGAGUGCAGAAGAGGAGAGUGGAAUUCCAUGUGUAGCGGUGAAAUGCGUAGAUAUAUGGAGGAACACCAGUGGCGAAGGCGGCUCUCUGGUCUGUAACUGACGCUGAGGCUCGAAAG